GCCAGUAGAGGCACUCAUCUGUCUCGUGACAGAAGAUCCCAAACAUGGUGAUGUUGUGGGACUCUGUCACGCGGCCUCGAUGAUAUUUUCUUCUCAUGGCGAACGUUUCAUCGACCUGGGGACGGAAAAAGAACAAGGCGUAAGUCUAGGUUCGAUUACCGGCUUGAGGAGGUUGAACGGCAACCUUACUUCUACAGUUUUCCCCGGCCGCCCAUCUUCAUUUGCAUGUAUCGCACAUGCAUCUGCGCCACUUCCCGGAAAAAGCUGUAAAAGUCGACACUGUCCUGCGGGCAACCUCACACUCGACGUCUACCGUGAUGAGUGGCAGCUUAGUCACCCAAGCCAUUAUUAGGCGACGACCUGAAAAUAUAAGGACGUAGCACAGUUAGUUAGAGGUCGGGAAGCAUCUACGCUGCACGGAGGGCCGAGGGGCCCAGCGACGCAGCGUACCCGUGUGCAACCGGAGCACGCAGGCCAAACGUUGCGCCGUGAUGAAGGCUGGAGGAGUUCCUUACCUUAACGAACGGUAGGCGGACACGUUCCAAAAAAGUAUUCGAUAGGGGAGAUGUCGAGCCGCUGUAUCGCUCCCUCCUCAUUUUCUUCUUUGGGGCCGGCGAUGUUGGUGCCGGCCGAGGCUGAGUGUUGCAGCACCUAUAUGUGGAUUGCAGCGGGUUGUCCCGGGAAGUCUUCGGUCGCAUCGGGCCUAAGGGGAAAAAGGAGAACAAUCGUUGUGCUCCCUAUAGACGUCUGGGCGUGGAAUACGCUGGCAAGUGUCGGGAAUCAAGUCUUGCCCUGCUGGAGACUCGAUUCCCGGCACUGCGGGCACUUACUUUGGCAUUUCGGCCAGGGAGGCGGCACGGUGGAAUCGCGGUCCGGUAGUAGGCCGACAGCCGCGCAUAGUUCCGCCGUCCGACCCUCGCUGGAAAACGCCUGCGCGAAGAUAAAGAUUGUAACGGCGGCGAUAACGGCCGAGACGUUCCCGGGACGCCGACGAUGACGGCUGUCCGGCUGGAUGCGGUGAUGGUCACGUGACGGUGUCGGUAUAUCCGAUUGCUCCAUGGCACAUGCAAGAAGAACGUUGGAGAAGC
rnacentral:lncRNA from 1 species